GCCCUUGAAAGAUAACAGCCAUCUAUUGGUCUUAGGAACCAAAAACUCUUAGUGCAACUCUAAGCAAGAGCU
rnacentral:tRNA from 1 species